rnacentral:rRNA from 1 species
GACGAACGCUGGCGGCGUGCCUAAUACAUGCAAGUUGAGCGCUGAAGGUUGGUACUUGUACCAACUGGAUGAGCAGCGAACGGGUGAGUAACGCGUGGGGAAUCUGCCUUUGAGCGGGGGACAACAUUUGGAAACGAAUGCUAAUACCGCAUAAAAACUUUAAACACAAGUUUUAAGUUUGAAAGAUGCAAUUGCAUCACUCAAAGAUGAUCCCGCGUUGUAUUAGCUAGUUGGUGAGGUAAAGGCUCACCAAGGCGAUGAUACAUAGCCGACCUGGGAGGGUGAUCGGCCACAGUGGGACUGGGACACGGCCCAAACUCCUACGGGAGGCAGCAGUAGGGAAACUUCGGCAAAGGACGAAAGUCUGACCGAGCAACGCCGCGUGAGUGAAGAAGGGUUUCGGAUCGUAAAACCCUGUUGGUAGAGAAGAAAGUUGGUGAGAGUGGAAAGCUCAUCAAGUGACGGUAACUACCCAGAAAGGGACGGCUAACUACGUG